rnacentral:rRNA from 1 species
UACGUAGGUGGCAAGCGUUGUCCGGAAUUACUGGGUGUAAAGGGCGUGUAGGCGGGAAGAUAAGUCAGAUGUGAAAGCCCAAGGCUCAACCGUGGGACUGCAUUUGAAACUAUCUUUCUUGAGUGCAGGAGAGGAAAGUGGAAUUCCUAGUGUAGCGGUGAAAUGCGUAGAUAUUAGGAGGAACACCAGUGGCGAAGGCGACUUUCUGGACUGUAACUGACGCUGAGGCGCGAAAGCGUGGGGAGCAAACAGG